CGGAGGGUGCAAGCGUUAUCCGGAUUUACUGGGUUUAAAGGGUGCGUAGGUGGGCAGGUAAGUCAGUGGUGAAAUCUCCGAGCUUAACUCGGAAACUGCCAUUGAUACUAUCUGUCUUGAAUAUCCUGGAGGUAAGCGGAAUAUGUCAUGUAGCGGUGAAAUGCUUAGAUAUGACAUAGAACACCAAUUGCGAAGGCAGCUUACUACGGGAUUAUUGACACUGAGGCACGAAAGCGUGGGGAUCAAACAGGAUUAGAUACCCUGGUAGUCCACGCCCUAAACGAUGGAUACUCGACAUACGCGAUACACUGUGUGUGUCUGAGCGAAAGCAUUAAGUAUCCCACCUGGGAAGUACGAUCGCAAGAUUG
rnacentral:rRNA from 1 species